GGUUAAGGUUUCAUCAUUGCUCCCCAAAAGGGUUAGGGUUUCAUCUUUGCUCCCCAAAAGGGUUUCAUUGCUCCCCAAAAGGGUUAGUUACAUUGCUCUCCAAAAGGAUUAGGGUUACAUUGCCCCCCAAAAGUGUUACAUUGCUCCCCAAAAGGGUUACAUUGCUCCUCAGGAAGCUCCCCAAAAGGGUUAGGGUUACAUGGCUCCCCAAAAGGCUCCCCAGAAGGGGUGGGUUGACAUUGCUUCCCAAAAGGCCGCUUUUCUACUGAUGCGAACAUUAACGGCGCAUGGGACACAAUAGUGGAAGGAUGCACUUUCUCCCUCACGGCAGGCCAAAAACGAGACCCGGAAAGCCAAGGAGUAGCUUCCGGUUGGAAACUGCAAGGUUUUCCUUCGGGAAAGUCUUAGGAUUUCCUGCAGGUUUUAGGGAGAGGAGUCGAGGGAGUGUUCUUAAUGCGUUGUUCAAUGCCAUCGGAUGCUGGGCCGUGUCAUAUUUGGUUCUCGCUUGACGAUCAUAACCCCGAGGCCUUCUUUUUGUUGUGUCUUGCAGGGCAUUUUCAUCAAAGACUCCAACUCCCUAGCUUACUACAACAUGACCAGCGGGUCCAUCAUCCACUUGGCCCUCAAGGAAAGAGGAGGGAGGAAGAAGUAGGUUUAGGGGGUCCUUUGACGACGAAGAAGUUGAGCUUUGGGCCUCUUUCACGUCCGGAGAGAGAGCCACCAUCUUGCGCAUGCAGCUGCUAUUAAGUUUGAAGCUUCGUUAUGUGCAGGCUGCGCCGUAAUGUUCGUUACGCCAAUGGCGUUCCUCCCUUCUGUAUUCAUUGCUUGUUUUUUCCCCUAGCCGCGUUUGGCUUGGCUUGGACCCAGUUCAAAACAUAUAGAAAGCAGUUAAGAGAAUGAGUUAAACAUUUCAGCCUUGCUACCUGUAGUAUUUUGCAAGUAAAUUUAAGUUGUGUGUAAUAAAAAUUAUUAUUACAUUCGUUUACGUCCCACUUUGUGUUUUGUCACCGCUCAGAUCCUAUAUCCUGGCAUUGCAAUGGUCAUAUAUGGGGCACUGAAGGUUAUAUAUUAUACUAAUGGUCAUGUAUGGGUCACUGAAGGUUAUAGAUUAUAUUAAUGGUCAUAUAUGGGACACUGAAGGUUAUAGAUUAUAUUAAUGUAUUAAUGGGACACAGGGAUACAUAGGAUCCUAUGUAUUGGGUCUCUCUCCUAAGGGUCCUAUAGUCCAAACCCAGAGAAGCACAUGGCAACCAUGAUGUGGAGAGAAGCCCCAAGCCUUGUUUCCAUUUGAAAAGGUUCCAUGCCUGCCUUGGGUUCCAUGUUCCGCUCUAGAAUGCAGCUGAGGCCAGUGCGGCCGUUGGACGCCAGUCAGUGCCCUUCUGGACAGCGGCUUGACCAGUUCGUGGAGAGCAUCUUGACCUGUGGCCAUUCGGGUUCUUGGUGCCGCCAUGGCGCGCGGAGAGAAUUUUCUCAACGCCGUCGGGAAGUCCAUCGGGAAGACUGUCAAGUUCUUCUCGUGUAAUAUACACCCGAAAGAUGAGGACGAGGACGUCCCCAGACGUCUUCAAAGACACAAGAAGACACAAUCAACCCACUUCAAGGAGGAAGUGGUGGAAGACAUCGCCGCGUUGUCCGCAGACACCCAUCCCUCUCCGUCGGAGGAGCUGACCGCGGACAUCGAUCCCUCUCUGUUGGAGGAGCUGACCGUGGAUGUCUGUCCCCCUCUGUUGGAUAAGUUGACCAUGGAUGUCCAUCAGUUUCCAUCGCGGGAGCUGACCGCAGAUGUCCAGCAGUCUCCGUUGCAGGGUUUGACCGCGGGCAUCCAUCCCUCUUCGUCGCAGAUAGUGGUUGUCGCACAGGUCCACCGUGCUUUUUCGGAUUCCCCCGAAACAGAGGAGGCCAAAGACGAGGAGGAGGAGAAGGAAUACAACGAAGGGGAUCGGAGCGUUGUACAGAAAGAACAGUUGGCGAAGGACCUCGCCGAGGAGAAGCCUGCCAUCCUAUGGGACCUAGACGAUGAUAUCUGGCGGGUGGAGGACGAAUGUCGCCCACACUCGGUUUCGUGCAGAUCUCUGAAGCCAGUAAGUGCUGAGAAGGAAGGCGCACUUCAGAGAAAUGGCACGAACAAGAUUCACUCUUUAAGGGAUUCCUAUGACUGCGCCACGGACGACGAGAAGCAUAGAAGAAGGAACAUCGCCCUCAGUCCAGUUUGGGCAGAUUUCCAGAGCCGCCAAGCCCCUGCACUGAGAAGGAGGACAUCACUCCAAGGAUUGGCAGCGUAAAGAUGCGCUCUUUCUUGGCUACCAAAGACUGGGCCGCACAUAAUGAGAAGCAUGGGGCAGCGAAGGAUGAAUUUCGGCCCCAGUCUGCAUUCGCCAGAUUCCAGAACCUGCCAAGCCCUUGCACUGAGGAGGAAGAGGGUGCCUUCCUGAAGUUCGGGAUCAACCAGAUCAACUUGAAUCCGGUAAGGAAAAAAUCUGGCUGACCCAUGGAAGAGUGACCAACAUGGACAUGGAUCCAUGCGGUCAAUGCAGCGAAAAAGGAUCCCAAAACGUCCAUCCUACGUUUUGGCCUCCUGACCAGGAGGAGCAGAGCGCAUGAACGGCGCCUCUUCCAUCACGAUAGAGUCAAUGCGCACCCAUUGUUCAGCAAUCUGUUGUAUAGAUGGCAUUAUUUGUUUGUUUGUUUGUUUACCUAAUUUCCUCACUCUUUUCUUCUCCCCCAAAUAGAAGAAGAC